UGCUUGAACUAUAUUUAUUUAAUUUAUUUUUUUCCAAAAGUUAAAAUACUUCACAAACCACAGUCGCAUGCAUGCUUGGGACCCGCCUUGUGCUUACCGGCCUCUGGCUGGCCAGAGCUGCAGCCUCUAUCUUGGAUGAUUGUUGCUGGAAGUGGCGGCCAGCAGAUGAAGCCAGCUGCCCUUUGCGUUGCUUGAUUGCAGAGACACCAUGGCUUUGCUGUCACUGGUGGGAUGGCAGACCCAGAGGCUUGACAUGGUUCAAGUCUUCAAUCCCUUGUCUGGAUCUGCCAGUUUUCAGGGAACUGGAGAAUGUCUUAACUCUUGACAAUUCUUACCCUGACUACGCCUGGGCCAGCAGCGGGCAGGUAGGUAAUGAGGGCAGAACUGUUUCAUUUCCUUCUUCCGAUCUGUGCUGCAGUCGUGGUGUACCCAGGGCAUUACCAACCACCUGUUUGCUGAGGUGUGUGUGGCCUCUGAGUCCCAGAGUGUUGGUGGAGGCUCAGUGGGCAGAUCAGAGUCACCCAAUACUGUUGUCCCUGGUCCUGCCCUGCCUUCCACCUCAGGUUGUGUCAGUGUUUACUCAGGGUAUCCUUGGCAGUUUUUAAUUUGUUUUAAAUUUGACCAUCAAACUCUUGAAGAACCACAGCCAGCAAGCUUUGGAGAGGAAUUGGUUCUGUGAGGACUGAAGCCUUUUAAGGGAAGUAGGUCCUGCCAGGUGGCUUCUCAGAGCACCUCAGCCUCCUCUGGCCCUUGUGGCCUCUGUGCUAGCAUUGCUGACACUUAGUGUGGACCAUCUGCCUUGUCUGAUUAGCCCAGUAUAAACAUCACUACCAUCUGCCUGCUUGCCCAGACCCUGACCAGCGGCUGCUUAGAGCUGUAGGAGGAUGGAUGGUCUUCCUGUCAGCAUCCACGGUGUCCCCUAGAGAGCAGCCAUUCAUUCCUUGAAGGGACCAGAGUCCCAGAGUCCCAUCCUCUGGGACAGCCAUGCGAUGGCUGCUAGGGAGAGAAGUCCCUGUAGGAGUGAAGCCAGUAGUGCUAUGCUGUGGGAGGGCCAUUGUGCCACUUGGCACUUAGACGGUCUAAAACAGGAUGCAAAGGUUCCUACGGACUUCAUCUUGCUUUGGUCUCAGGAACACUGAAAGUCCUAAGGGAUUUCACUUGGUCAGCUGCCUAAGAAUUCGCCCUGCCUCUGAAAAGCAGUACCAUUUGCACAGAGCCUUGCAGGACGCUCUUCCUGUGACGUGCUUCAGCUUCCCUGGCAACUGACAAAGCACUGACAUCCCGCAGGAUGGCUGUGCCCAUGGCCUCCAGUGGUUGGUGCGGGGGCGCAGCUUUGGAGCUGUACUGUGUAAGGGCAGUCUGUCCGCACCUUGGUGCUCAGUGUGGAUGGGGUCUUCUGGGGUCUCAUGGCAUACAUGGCAAGUGUGCUAUAAGUUUGUCCUCAUGGGUAUCCUUAUGAGCUGUUCCCGUGGCCGAGAGGACCCUGUGUGCCUGUCUGCUAUGAGGGCAGGGAGGUGACCUUGGGAAAGCUGGUGCUUUGGGGUGGGUCUGAAGAGAUGGGGCUCAAGUGCUUGCUGGCCUUCAGGGUUUGCUGUGCCCACAUUGCACUCUGACUUCAUGUCCCCUGUGGGCUGGAUAAGGACAAUAAGCUGUGUUCUCCGGGGGCUCCCAUGCUAGACGAGGCCAGACAGGCCAGCUGCAGCCUCAGGCCUCUACUUACUGCCUCUUGGAGCAGACUAACACUAACUUGUAGCUGGAAAAGUGAUGUAUAGGGGUCAUGGUCACUAAAAUGUCAGGUAGUGGAUGGUAGGUGGUGGCUGUGGGUUGGGUCCCAGGUGCUGAGGUCUAUGGGGCAGAGAAGGCCAGUGUUUUGGGGCUGUGUUUAGUGACACGGCCCUGAGGAGCUGCAGCGGUACAGAUGGUGUUUCCAUGUCUCCAGUUUUCUCUGCCACUUAUGCCUUAGAGGUUCUGUGUGGGAAGCAGGUGAGUUGCUCACAUAGCAUUUACCUGUCUGUCCAAGCUGCCUGUUCUAUGUGUUGCCCUGACGGUGACUUGAAGCUUCUAGUGCCUCAAGGCCCAGGCCACCUCAGGUCAGAGACCAUAGGGCCAUCUUCAGUGCCUUUCCCGGGACCAGUGUCUAACCUCUGCUUCCGGUCCCUGACACUACCCAAAACAUCUCUUAGUCUCUCUCUAUGGUGCCUUCCUGCUGUGCUGUGGACACUCAUGCAGUGUUGGGAAAGUUGGGAAAAGCACGGGUGUGUGGACUGUGUAAAUAUGAGCUCACAUGUGUGAUGUUGAUUCCAGGAUUUCAGUGAUUGGUGCAUGUUAAAUGGGAAUUUAAAAUCCAAAGACCCUGUAAUGAACAGUAAAGAUGAUUUAUGUUGUAUGAGGAACCACACUAUUGUAAUUUUGUACUAUACAUGCCUUUCCAUCAAGUGACCAACAGCUUCGAAAUAAAUCCAGGUGAUUUCUUGCUUAUGUCUG
rnacentral:lncRNA from 1 species